rnacentral:rRNA from 1 species
GAGUUUGAUCAUGGCUCAGGAUGAACGCUGGCGGCGUGCCUAACACAUGCAAGUCGAACGGAGUUCUUAAGGAAUGCGGCUUCGGCCAAAUGACUUUUGAACUUAGUGGCGGACGGGUGAGUAACGCGUGAGCAACCUGCCUUUCAGAGGGGGAUAACAUUUGGAAACAGAUGCUAAUACCGCAUAAGAUUACAGUACCGCAUGAUACAGUGAUCAAAGGAGCAAUCCGCUGAAAGAUGGGCUCGCGUCCGAUUAGAUAGUUGGUGAGGUAACGGCUCACCAAGUCGACGAUCGGUAGCCGGACUGAGAGGUUGAACGGCCACAUUGGGACUGAGACACGGCCAGACUCCUACGGGAGGCAGCAGUGGGAACAUUGCACAAUGGGCGAAAGCCUGAUGCAGCAACGCCGCGUGAGGAAGACGGUUUUCGGAUUGUAAACCUCUGUUUUCGGUGACGAACAAAUGACGGUAACCGAGUAGGAAGCC